UGGUAAUAUUAAACCAAAAUACCAUGGCGGCCAUUCCAAUAAAUCAGAGGAACUUGUCUCAUAACCGAUAAUCCUCGAUCAAUUUCACUAAAAUAAAAUCAAUUAUUUUUAUACCUCCGUCAAAAUUUUUCUCCAAAAAAAAAUUCAAAAAAUCCAUCCAAAUUAAAAAGUCAGGUCAAGGUGAAAUAACAUUUAGAGAAGAUUAGUUACCCAUUAAAACAAUUAAAAGAAAAAUACCCAAAAUUAAUUAGAAAAAGGAUUUGAAAGUAUUAAUUAAAUAACAAUUAAAAAUGAAUAUAAUUUUUGGUGU
rnacentral:rRNA from 1 species